UCACUUGUCCCUUAAAUGAGGACGCGUAUGAAAGGCAACAUGAGAGAACACCUGUCUCCUAAGGAAUGCCAAUGAAAUUGAACUACCAGUUCAAAAGCUGGUAUAAAAAAGCAAGACAAAAAGACCCUGUGGAACUUUAAUUAACUGCUUUACAUAACAAAACCAGUAAUUUCAGUUGGGACAACUUUAGAAAAAAUAAACUUCCUAAUUUUACUAGACUAACUAGUCCAAAACAUCAUGACCCAGUAACACUGAUUAACGAAACAAGCUACCCCAGGGAUAACAGCGCCACCUUCUCAAAGAGUCCAUAUCAACAAGAAGAUCUACGACCUCGAUGUUGGAUCAGGGUACCCCGACGGUG
rnacentral:rRNA from 1 species